rnacentral:rRNA from 1 species
UGCGCAGGUGGUCUUGUAAGUCAGUGUUGAAAUACUGCCGCUUAACGGUAGAACUGCCAUUGAUACCGCAAGUCUUGAGUAUGGUUGAGGUAGGCGGAAUGUGUUGUGUAGCGGUGAAAUGCAUAGAUAUGACACAGAACUCCAAUUGCGAAGGCAGCUUACUAAGCCAUUACUGACGCUGAGGCACGAAAGCGUGGGGAGCGAACAGGAUUAGAUCCCCUGGUAGUCC